GCCAGGCUGGAGAACCAUUACCUGUGAACUCUCUAUUGAGGGUCCCUUGGGGCUGGGGUUGGAGGCUGUUCUAGGGCUCAAGAAGUGCAUUGGGGUGGUGACAAGUCCAGAGAGUCUGGCCUUCCAGGUCUCUACAGCUUCUCAGCAUACUCAGAUGGCACAGUCACAGCUCCGUAUGAUACAAAACAUGAUCGAUCGCUGGGCAGCAGAACAAACCCUUCCCAUGUGUGGUCCUCCUUCACAUUUGCUGGCAUCAUAGAUGGGUCUGAUAAUCCUGUAUUUGCCUCACACUUGAGAGGAGCAAGCAUGGUCUGUAAGCCAGAUGUGCACUGGAAGCUAAUGGCCUCUCUUCACAAUGAGACAUUCGUUGCUAAGGAAGGGCAGCCAGGUGGAGAGCUGAAAGCUGCACCUGGGCCGAUAGCUGGGUAGCAUUGCUGAGCCACUAGUGUUUAAAGGUACCUUCUCAAUGGCCCAGAGACACAGCUGCCUACGACGCCACCCCUGGUCGUCCUUUCCUGAUAGCAAUUACCCUUUUUGCACCUAAAGUAGACCCAGGAGUUCUUCUGAGAGCCGCCACUGGCAGGAAGUGACCGAGCUGUGAGCCACCAGCUUCACUGUGUGACGCGCUUUGUGACAAGCUGCCAGGGCCAGGAGCUGUAGCAGCUGCGCUUGAACUUGUGGCUGGCUGCAGUCCCUUGGAAAGGGAAGGGGCACAUCUGGAAGGCGGGUCUGAGUGCCCCAUGAAGCUCAGGCUGGCUUACCAACCCAAGCAAAGCCUGUAGCAAUUUCAAAACCUCAGGAUCCUUCCAAUUGCCUCAGUGAGCCUUGGAGAAGCCACAGACCUGAUACACAAGGCUGAACACGGGGACAGCAGCACUUCCUACUGGCCUCUCAUAGGCAGCUGGGGAAACCCCUUCUUCAUGCAGCAAGUCGGGAAGAUAUGGAUAUCCAACGAGGGGUCUGAAGGUAAUGUUGGUCCUGAGCUGAUCUCUGUACUUGAGCCUAGAGAAAUGUGGAAGCCAGCCUCUGGUUCUGCCCCAGAGAAGCUCUCACAUCUGUCCCUCACAGUCUGUGUCUGUGGCAGGUUACUUCCUCUUUGAACCUCAGUUUCCUUAUCUGUCAGAUGGAGCAAACAUGGGGACCUGCCAUGGGAGAACCCCAGCUCAUGCAGGUAGAAAUGUCAGCUCUAAGAUCCUGGGCCCCAUGCUACCCUCCCUGAGAUGCUGCUAUGUGAAUGUGGAGGGAAAGAAACAGAAGUUACUGCAUCUUACUCCAUCCUAAGAAAGGCUACAGUGGGCAGCCCUGAUUCCCUCCUGCUGUCCAGAACCUGAGAGCCCAGUAAAUUGGAGCCUAGGCCACUGUGGCCUUUGAAAGACAGACAGAAGACUUCCAGACACGCAGCAAAGAUAAGAAAGCUGCAAGGAUGCCAGAGGCCUCCCAACAUCCAAUCCAGACAGAGCCUUGUCUGAGGUAGAGGUUUCCAAUGAGUGAGCCCCAGGAAAUCUUAAGUCUUGGGGAUAUGGCAUACUAGCAGAGGGGCAACAAUCAGCUCCAGGGAGUAAAGAAAUUAAAAGCAGCCCUUGUUGUAGCUUGUGCCAAUUUGUAUGGUAUAAUCACUCCUGCCUUGGCUAAUGUCAUCACUGAAGGCAAAUUCAGGACCAGCAAAGCAUAGUCAACUGUCCUGAGCAGCAACAUCUCACACUCAAAGCAUAUGAGAACAGAUGGCUCUUCCCAUAAGAUUCUUGCUACCUGCCCAGAGGACCAAGAACAAACAGUGGCAUGUCUCGGCUGGAAGACAGAGGAGCAGAAGGGUUGUUGAGUGUUACAGGUUGGCUAGGAAAAGUCCCACACCGGCUUGUGUGUUUGAACACUUGCUCUCCAGCUCAUGGUGCUCUCUGGGAAGUUUCUGGAACCUUUUAAAGGUGAGGCUGUGGUGAUUUAAAGAAUAGUCCCCUUGGGCUCCUAUUUUGAAUACUUGGUAGAACUGUUUGGGGAGGAUUGGGAGGUGUGGCCUUGUUGGAGAAGAUGUAUCACUGGGGGUGGACUUUGAGGUUCUAAAAGACUCCCAGUGUUCUUCCUCUACCUCGUGGUUGUGGAUCAAAAUGUGAGCUGAUCUUCCCUCCUCCAUCACUCAUUGUAGUCCUCUGAAACCAUAAGCCAAAAUAAAUGUUUUCUUCUAGAA